GACGAACGCUGGCGGCGCGCCUCAUACAUGCAAGUCGAACGUGAAGCCCGGAGCUUGCUCUGGGUGGAAAGUGGCGAACGGGUGAGGAACACGUGAGGAACCUGCCCCGAAGACCGGGAUAACUCCGGGAAACCGGUGCUAAUACCGGAUGCCCUCAUCGGAUCUCAUGUUCCGAUGAGGAAAUGGAUUCCGCUUCGGGAUGGCCUCGCGGCCUAUCAGCUUGUUGGUGGGGUAACGGCCUACCAAGGCUUCGACGGGUAGCUGGUCUGAGAGGAUG
rnacentral:rRNA from 1 species